rnacentral:rRNA from 1 species
AGAAUCAACGCUGGCGGCGUGCCUCAGACAUGCAAGUCGAACGCGAAAGCCCCCUUCGGGGGGCAAGUAGAGUGGCGCACGGGUGAGUAACACGUAGGUAAUCUACCUUUGGAUGGGGAAUAACAACCGGAAACGGUUGCUAAUACCGCAUAAUGCAGCGGCACCUAAUGGUGACAGUUGUUAAAGCGGGGGAUCGAAAGACCUCGCGUCUGAAGAGGAGCCUGCGGCGGAUUAGCUAGUUGGUAGGGUAACGGCCUACCAAGGCUACGAUCCGUAGCCGGCCUGAGAGGGCGGUCGGCCACGACUGACACUGACAUACGGGUCAGACUCUACGGGAGCAGCAGUCGGGAAUUUUGGG